GAAAGCGUAAGACAUUCAAAUCAAAUAGAUCGUAGCAUAUUAUACACAAUCAGUUAUUGUAUUUAUUCAAUUAGAAAAUGUUUAGAUGCUAAACGUAUAGGCGGUCAUUACAGUGUUUCUUUCUGGUUUUAUAUUAAAAUGUAUAAAAUGGCAAAAUAAACAAUAGAAGGAAUAGUCAUAAACAAGAAAGAAUACUUUUGUAAUAUAUUAUAUACUAUAUGAACAAGGCGUAAAUUGGCACGGUAGAGAAAAUAUAUCCAUUAGAAGUACAGAACCACUCCGAUAUGAAAAUUUCGAGUUUUGUUUUUCCAAUUAGUUUAAAAGGACUCUGUAAUCCAAAAUUCAUAAAAACGUCAGUGUACCUACACGGCAAAGCGGAAUACAAGGGUAAUUUAAACAAUUAUAAUAUUGCAGCGGUGAACUUACAAU